rnacentral:misc_RNA from 1 species
UUGAGAUCACGCACUUAAAACUUGGAACAAGCGAACCGGCGACGCCACACACCAGUCUCCACCUCUUGACGUCACAUCCCAACUGCGGCCGCCAUGGGGUCCUCAUUGCCGUCGCUUGUGCUGCUGCUCGUCGCUUACGCCGCCGCUGCUCAGCUCCCGGCAUCCCUGAAGACCUGCAAGCAAAAUGAUCCAGACUUCAACGGCUGCUUGAAAAAUGCUUUUACGGAUGCCUUGCCGGUUCUGGUAAAAGGUAUUCCCAGUCUGGGUCUCCCGCCACUUGACCCCUUACAUUUUACGCAAAUCAAAAUCAAGGACUCACCUGAACGGCCAGUCACCUUGAGCUUGGAAUUCAACGAAGUAGACAUUAUCGGAAAUGGCAAUGCGAUCAUCGACGACGUCGAGAUGAAGCCAGGCAGUUACUACAUGAAGACAGAGGUACAUACCGAUAAGCCAUUGACACUCGUCGGCCCAUACAAGGCAGAAGGCAAGGUGUUGGUGCUGCCUGUUAAAGGGGAAGGGAACAGCAACAUAACAGCACCUAGACUGGAGGCCGUCCUGGAGUUAUUUGGACAGCCCAUUGAAAGAGAUGGAGAGGUGUACUGGGACGUCACGGACUACAAGGUCGACCUCAGUUUAGGCAAGCUAUCGAUUGACUUGACAGGACUCUACAACAAUGACAAGGCACUAGCUGACAACACCCUCAAGUUUCUGAAUGAGAAUUCUGAAGAGAUUGCGAAGGAGGUGGUACCCGUCAUACAGGAAGCCCUGGCUGCCUCCUUCAAGGAGAUGGCUCAAAGAGUGUUUAGCAAGGUCCCCUACAACUCAGUCUUCCCACCUUCAUGAAGAUCUAGCAGCUUGGAAGUUCUGCUUAUAGAAAGGGAAUACAUUAAACAUGACACGUACUGAUUUGGAAUUUUGGUCCAGAACCCGAAAAUAUCUUUUAGCACACUUUGGCAAUAUCAAUGCAUCUUCAAUCACGUUUACAACUAGGUGCAGAGGAGGGGAGGGGAACUUCAUGGCCACCCUAAAGAAAAAUUUUAAAAUGCAAAUUUCGUUAAUUGUUGUAGAAAUUUUUUCAUAAUGUAAUUUUUAAAGAGAUAUUUAUGUGUAAGUAAGGUUUGCACCUCAAUUGUUGAAUAUGACUCUAAAAUUAGUGAGAAGCAUGAAAAAUUUAUUCGUUCCACUAGUGCUCAUUAAAAAAGGUUUUUCUUUUAA